GGAAUCUUCGUCGUCUAGUGGGCGCAGCCCUGACUGCAGCGCACUGCCGCGUGGGAGUGAUGAAGGCCUUCGGGUUGUAACCUCUUUUAUUGGGGAAGAAGGUGUUGGUUCCUGUGGGGUUCGGCCCUGCCCAUUCCCACGCAACAACCCCCGGUUUCAACCCGGC
rnacentral:rRNA from 1 species